rnacentral:rRNA from 1 species
AGAGUUUGAUCAUGGCUCAGGAUGAACGCUAGCGGGAGGCUUAAUACAUGCAAGUCGAACGGCAGCAUUAUUAAAUUUAUUUAGUAGAUGGCAAGUGGCGCACGGGUGAGUAACGCGUACACAACCUACCCUUAAGAGUGGGAUAGCCCUGGGAAACUGGGAAUAAUACCGCAUAAUAUUAAUUAGUUGCAUAGCUGAUUAAUUAAAGUUGAGGCGCUUAAGGAUGGGUGUGCGUUCCAUUAGCUAGUUGGUAAGGUAACGGCUUACCAAGGCGACGAUGGGUAGGGGGCGUGAGAGCGUGAUCCCCCACACGGGUACUGAGACACGGACCCGACUCCUACGGGAGGCAGCAGUAAGGAAUAUUGGACAAUGGGCGAAAGCCUGAUCCAGCCAUCCCGCGUGCAGGAUGAAUGCCCUAUGGGUUGUAAACUGCUUUUAUAAGGGAAGAAACCCCCGGACUUGUCUGGGGCUGACGGUACCCUUAAGAAUAAGCACCGGCUAACUCCGU